rnacentral:lncRNA from 1 species
AUUGGUCACUCUCUGGUCACUCAGGGUCACUCAGGGGUCAGUGGUCACUCAGGGGUCACUCAGGGUCACUCAGGGGUCAGUGGUCACUCAGGGGUCACUCAGUGGUCAGGGGUCACUCAGUGGUCUGUGGUCAGUGGUCAGUUGGUCACUCUCUGGUCACUCUCUGGUCACUCAGGGCUCCACGGCCGAGGUUUGGGUUGGGGUCAGUGGUCACUCAGGGGUCAGUGGUCACUCAGGGGUCACUCAGGGGUCACUCAGGGGUCAGUGGUCAGUGGUCACUCAUUGGUCACUCUCUGGUCACUCUCUGGUCACUCUGGUCACUGGUCACUCAUUGGUCACUCAUUGGUCACUCAUUGGUCACUCAGGGGUCACUCAGGGUCACUCAGGGGUCACUCAGGGGUCACUCAGUGGUCAGUGGUCAGUGGUCACUCAUUGGUCACUCAUUGGUCACUCUCUGGUCACUCUCUGGUCACUCUCUGGUCACUCUCUGGUCACUCAGGGGUCACUCUGGUCACUCAUUGGUCACUCAGGGGUCACUCAUUGGUCACUCUGGUCACUCAUUGGUCACUCAGUGGUCACUCUCUGGUCACUCUCUGGUCACUCAGUGGUCACUCAGGGUCACUCAGGGUCACUCAGGGGUCACUCAGGGUCACUCAGGGGUCAGGGGUCACUCAGGGGUCACUCAGGGGUCACUCAGGGGUCACUCAGUGGUCAGUUGGUCACUCUCUGGUCACUCAGGGGUCACUCAGUGGUCAGUGGUCACUCAUUGGUCACUCAUUGGUCACUCAUUGGUCACUCUCUGGUCACUCUCUGGUCACUCAGGGGUCACUCAGUGGUCACUCAGAGGUCAGGGGUCACUCAGGGGUCAGUGGUCACUCAGUGGUCAGUGGUCACUCAGUGGUCACUCAUUGGUCACUCUCUGGUCACUCUGGUCACUCAGUGGUCAGUGGUCACUCUCUGGUCACUCAUUGGUCACUCUCUGGUCACUCAGGGGUCACUCGUGGUCACUCAGAGGUCAGGUCGGGUUGGGGUCAGUUGUCAGGGGUCAGUGGUCAGUGGUCACUCAGUGGUCACUCAGUGGUCAUUGGUCACUCUGGUCACUCUCUGGUCACUCAGGGCUCCACGGCCGAGGUUCGGGUUCGCAGCGGCUGCACCUUCGAGGGGAUCUUCCGCACCCUCAGCGCCAAGGUGAGCCCUAAUUAGCGUUAAUUAACACUAAUUAACGCUAAUUAACACUUAAUUAUUCUUUAUUAUGUCUUAUUAACCCUCAUUAAUCUCAAUUAAACUUAUUUAACCCCAAUUAAUCUCUAAUUAAUGCUAAUUAACCGCAUCUUCCGCACCCUCAGUGCCAAGGUGAGCCCUAAUUAACCCUAAUUAACGCUAAUUAACACUUAAUUAUCCUUUAUUAUCUCUUAUUAACCCUCAUUAAUCUCAUUUAAAUUCAUCUCGCCCCAAUUAAUCUCUAAUUAAUGCUAAUUAACCACAUCUUCCGCACCCUCAGCGCCAAGGUGAGCCUUGAUUAGCACUAAUUAACGCUAAUUAACACUUAAUUACCCUUUAUUAUCUAUUAUUAACCCUCAUUAAACUCAAUUAAACUCAUUUAACCCCAAUUAAUCUCUAAUUAAUGCUAAUUAGCCACAUCUUCCGCACCCUCAGUGCCAAGGUGAGCCCUAAUUAACACUAAUUAACACUAAUUAACACUUAAUUACCCUUUAUUAUCUCUUAUUAACUCUCAUUAAUCUCAAUUAAACCUAUUUAACCCCAAUUAAUCUCUAAUUAAUGCUAAUUAACCACAUCUUGUGCACCCUCAGUGCCAAGGUGAGCACUAAUUAACACUAAUUAACGCUAAUUAACACUUAAUUAUCCUUUGUUACCUCUUAUUAACCCUCAUUAACCUCAAUUAAACCUAUUUAACCCCAAUUAAUCUGUAAUUAAUGCUAAUUAACCACAUCUUCCGCACCCUCAGUGCCAAGGUGAGCCUUAAUUAGCACUAAUUAACACUAAUUAACACUUAAUUACCCUUUAUUAUCUCUUAUUAAUCCUUAUUAACCUUAAUUAAACCUAUUUAACCCCAAUUAAUCUCUAAUUAAUGCUAAUUAACCGCAUCUUCCGCACCCUCAGUGCCAAGGUGAGCCCUAAUUAACCCUAAUUAAUGCUAAUUAACACUUAAUUAUCCUUAGUUACCUCUUAUGAACCGUCAUUA